GCCCCGCCGUCCCUUCCCCGGGAUCCCAGCCCCGUGGAGCUGCCGCCCGCUGCGUCCCGAUGGAACCAGCGGGGCUGGAUCGCCGUGAGCGGGAGGAGCUGCUCCGGGGCUCCACCCGCAGGUGGACCCCUCCAGGUCUCCACCUGCUGCAUUUUUCCCUGCUUCCUGAAGGAGGUGAUACCUGUCAGACCACUGGGCUCAUCUACAUCCUUGGUCCCCAGGGAGAUGUAUGAGGACUCUGCCCAUGCUACCUGCUCCAAAGCUCAAAGAAAAGAUCCCUAAGAUUGAUGACGGGGUACCACUCCCAGCAGCUGUGCAAAGAUGCCAAAAGCAGCCCACAGCCCAGCGCUCCCCCGAGUUGCCUUCGCUUUCACGUGCUGCCCUUUGGGCAGGCCCUCCUUUUCCAGCCCAGAAACCAGAGGUUUUGUGGAGAAGCCCAGGCACACCAGCCUCAUCCUCACUGCCUGUGCACAGGCGACAGGAGUUGGACAGAGAUCUGUGCCACCUCCGGACCUUCUGGCGACCCCGCAGAUCCAACCACUCCCCCAGGUAUCCCAAAACAUGCUUCAGUGGGUCCAACACUAGAGUGUCGGGGAGCCCCUUGUAUGACCCCACUAAUUCUGGGAUCUCGGUUCAAUCAGACAAGACCUGGUGCAUAAUGAGGGAAAAGACACAAACUCUCCCAUAAAUGCAUAAAGUUACUUUAUUUUCAGUAUACAUUUAAUUUUGAAAAAUAUAAAUGCUAAAAUAUCUCAUCAUCUUCAUCUUUUGAUUCCAUAAAAGUCACAAUAGAAAGCUUCAUAAAACUGUAAAAUACUAUAAUGUUAUAAGGAAUUUCAUGUUUUAUAUUACUGGAAAAAAAAAUCAUCACUUUAAUAUAUUUGAAAUGUUUUCUGCUUUUUUCCUUUUAGUUCCACCACCUGAUCCACUUCGUUUCAUCCUAAGCUCUCAUUCUCUCCUCCAAAGCAAACACGGACUUAGGAGAAUUAAAAACAAUAAUGAAAGUA